UGGGGAAUAUUGGACAAUGGGCGCAAGCCUGAUCCAGCCAUGCCGCGUGAGUGAUGAAGGCUCUAGGGUUGUAAAGCUCUUUCAACGGUGAAGAUAAUGACGGUAACCGUAGAAGAAGCCCCGGCUAACUUCGUGCCAGCAGCCGCGGUAAUACGAAGGGGGCUAGCGUUGUUCGGAAUUACUGGGCGUAAAGCGCACGUAGGCGGAUACUUAAGUCAGGGGUGAAAUCCCGGGGCUCAACCCCGGAACUGCCUUUGAUACUGGGUAUCUGGAGUCCGGAAGAGGUGAGUGGAAUUCCGAGUGUAGAGGUGAAAUUCGUAGAUAUUCGGAGGAACACCAGUGGCGAAGGCGGCUCACUGGUCCGGUACUGACGCUGAGGUGCGAAAGCGUGGGGAGCAAACAGG
rnacentral:rRNA from 1 species